GCUAUAGGCUUCUCUUCGGAGCCACCGCUUUGUGUAUACUAGUUAUCUCCUAAUUAAUAAAUCAGUUGUAAUUAGUGAAAUACUGUAAUGACUUAUUUUCACACCCGUCUUGUGAACGUAAUUACUGUACGCAACAGAUUGGUGCUUUAAGCAACCCGAAGAAUUACCUAACGGGAAGCGUGGCGUAUGCAGGCGGACUUUGGACCCUCUUCAUUCGAAAACGCACAUGGUUACGUUAGUCAAAAUUAUACUAAUUGUUAAAAUCGAGUUGCUUCGUGACGAAACUCCCGGCGAAGAUGACGUUACGCCGUCUGAGCGCAGCAGUUUGAGAAUGAAUACUUAGCAGAGAUAGCCAACGCCUGCUGUCUUCUUGCAGCAAAGGGUCGUGAUUCUGCGGCAAGCUUCAAUGACGCACGAUCAGGUGAGGAUUUCAAGGGCAGUCCGAACGUUAGCCUUCCCUAAAAUUUAUUUGCCUAAAUUCAGCGGUAGUUGCUUUUUUUAUAUUAGCGUUACCACACCCUAGGAUUUUCUCCUGUGUCGUAGGUGCGUUUACAACCAUACAAUUUCAUAGACCCUAAACAAAAAAUUGUGGAUGACACAAAGAUUUGCUCCAUGCGGGAAUCGAACCCGCUACACGUUGCACAACAGCCAGUUGCCCAGCCCCCGAGCCGACUGUGCAGUCAAAGUUAUCAGCACUGGCUCGAGUUUAGGGACAUUUUAUCUUCAUUAUUCAUAAGAAUGUAAACAUUGAUAAUACAUAUUACCAAACUCCAUUGGCUAAGAGCGUCGCUUAAAGGAAGCGCAGUGUUAAUUAUAAAACAUAAUUAUUACUGUGGUUACUGCCAAGCAAAGGGCCUCGGGUUCCAUUCCCGGAUCGGGCAAAGUACUGCUGGGCUUUUCUCAUGAGUAGCACGAAGUCUGGAAUUGUGCCUGACGAAUAAUACAUAAUGAAAAGUAGGUAUAUGUAUAUUGGCAUGACGUGCCGUAAUGUGCAGGUGCCUCUGCUUGCGUUCAUAUUACUGUAUCUGUAGUGAUACUUAUAAUAUAGCAUGGGAUUUACUACUUGAGCUGGACGACAACAGUCGGCUGCUUGUUAUUAUUAAUAACCAUUCACAAGCUUUUUUUAAUCUUGAACAGAUACUUACGGAGUCUUGUAAGUCCAUUCGUUGUCUGGUUGAUACAACUACCAAAAAUAUAGCGGCACUUCUACAUUGCAGCAACCUACCGAAUAUUGGGAUACUUUAAUUAUUUUUAUAAUGUCGUCCAAAUGAAAUAAAACUAAAUAGUUCAUUAACAUGUCCAA